CUCAUCUAGGUGUUGAAGAUUGCAUAAGAAGUCUUAUGCCUCGCAACCUUGUUAGAAGUAUCGAAGGAUUCGUUCAACAUUUAAAGUAUUUCCUCCAGCAGAGCAUCCUAAAAUUUGUGGCUGAACUCAUCGUUCAUAGCCGUCCGCAUAAUACAACGAAUCAUAGUUCGAUCAUUGAGCCACUUUUGAUAAGUAUCUUGGACUGCAC
rnacentral:lncRNA from 1 species